rnacentral:lncRNA from 1 species
AAACAUGUUGGACAAUGGAUUUUGCUUGCUUGCCAUUGUGCUCAUUCGCACACGCUUGUGAGGGUAGCUCCCUACAAGCCGGCACUCCGGAGUUGGCCUACGCGACAGUUGCUCGCCCGUGCGGGAUUGGGUGCCGAAAUGGAUUGCCGUGGGGAGUGUACACUACCACGGGGCCAUUAGGCGCGGUGCAAGCUGGACUACC